CUCACCGCGUCACCUGCAGCUCUCCGCCCCCCGGGAGGGACCCUCGCCCUGGGAACGCCCUGACUCGGGCCCGGGCCCGGGCCUGGGCACUGCAGCCUUGGCCAAGCGUCCUUAUCCUUUCCACCUGGAGGCUGCGGGGGCGGUGGGAAGCACAGGCCUUACCACCGAGAGGAUUCUGAGGCUCGUCAGGCUCUUGGGAGGAGUGCGUUAUUUCAAGCAAGAAGCAGUGCCAAUGUCUUAAAUGGGGAAAAAAACACAUAUGGAAAUUGAAGCUGAUUCAAAAUUAAGCAUCCAAGAUCUGCUAUAUUUCUCCUUUGAGAAUUCAUAACAGCAACAGAUACUUUAGAUGUAAGGCCUGUUCAGAGGUCCCUCCCAGGUCCAACAUGCCAAGGCCUCCUUGUUGGACUCCUUGUGCAGCAGGAAGGGUCGUCAGUAUUUCUUACUGAAGUAAUCUUUUUCUCCUAAGGUUCUGUCAAGCUAGACACUUU